GGUUGAUCCUGCCAGUAGUCAUAUGCUUGUCUCAAAGAUUAAGCCAUGCAUGUCUCAGUGUAAACUUUUAAACAGUGAAACUGCGAAUGGCUCAUUAAAACAGUUAUAGUUUAUUUGAUACUCUUUUUACAUGGAUAUUCCCGGUAAUUCUGAGAUUAAUACAUGCUUGCCCGCAAGGGCUGUGUUUAUUAGUUUAUAAACCAACACUGUAGCAAUACAGUACAGUUGGAAUGAUAAUAACCGAUCGGAUCGCACGCAUUAUUGUGGCGACAGAUCAUUCAAGUUUCUGAUUU
rnacentral:rRNA from 1 species